rnacentral:rRNA from 1 species
ACCAGUUGAUCCUACUGGAGGGUACUGCUAUUGAAGUUCGAUUAAGUCAUGCAAGUCGGAGAAUUCAUUUUCUCGGCGGACCGCUCAGUAACACGUGGAUAACCUACCCUGAGGACGGGGAUAACCUUGGAAAACUGAGGAUAAUACCCGGUAAGGUAAAGAUACUGGAACGUUCUUUACCCUAGAUGCUUCGGCGCCUUAGGAUGGGUCUGCGGGAGAUUAGGUAGUUGGUGAGGUAAAGGCUCACCAAGCCGAUAAUCUCUACAGGCAAUGAAAGUUGGAGCCUGGAGAAGGGCACUGAGACAACGGCCCUAGCCCUACGGGGUGCAGAAGACGCGAAACCUUUACAAUGCGCGAAAGCGUGAUAAGGGGACUUCAAGUGACUCCGUGAAAGCGGAGUCUUUUCUUAAGUGUAAAUAGCUUAAGGAAUAAGGACUGGGCAAGACUCGUGCCAGCCGCCGCGGUAACACGAGCAGUCCAAGUGGUGCCCACGAAUAUUGGGCUUAAAGCGUUCGUAGCCGGUUAAGAAAGUCCUUAGUGAAAGCCCAAGGCUUAACUUUGGGAAGUGCUAAGGAAACUGUUUAACUAGGGGACGGAAGGAGUUACGGGUACUCUUGGGGUAGCGGUAAAAUGCUGUAAUCCUAAGGGGACCGACGGUAGCGAAGGCGCGUAACUAGGACGUGCCCGACGGUGAGGAACGAAGGCCAGGGGAGCGACCCGGAUUAGAUACCCGGUUAGUCCUGGCUGUAAAUGAUGCAAAUUAGGUAUGCCGUGGCCCACGAGGCUAUGGGAUGCCGUAGGGAAACCGUUAAAUUUGCCGCCUGGGGAGUACGGUCGCAAGGCUGAAACUUAAAGGAAUUGGCGGGGGAGCACCACAAAGGGUGGGGGCUGCGGUUUAAUUGGAUACAACGCCGGAAACCUCACCGGGAGCGACGGCAGAUUGAAGGUCAGCUUGAAGAGCUUACCGGACAAGCCGAAGGGUAGUGCAUGGCCAUCUUCAGCUCGUGCUAUGAAGUGUCCUGUUAAGUCAGGCAACGAGCGAGACCCACACUGGUAGUUGCGACCUAGUUCAUUGCGACCUAGGGCACUCUACUGGGACUGCCGAUGGUAAAUCGGAGGAAGGAGUGGGCGACGGUAGGUCUGUAUGCUCCUCUAUCUCCCGGGCUACACGUGGCCCACAAUGGCAUGGACAACGGGAUGCGACUCCGAAAGGAGAAGCCAAACCCUUAAACCAUGUCUCACUUCGAAUCGAAGGCUGAAACUCGCCUUCGUGAAUCUGGAAUCCUUAGUAAUCGCGAGUCACUAUCUCGCGGUGAAUGUGUCACUGCUCCUUGCACACACCGCCCACCAAGUGAACCAAGCAGAGCCUGGGUGAGGUUUUAUGAAAUAAGCAUGGAAUCGAACUUAAGCUUUGUGAGGCGCGCUAAGGUGUAACAAGGUAGCCGUAGGAGAACCUGCGGCUA